GAUGAAGAACGCAGCGAAAUGCGAUAAGUAAUGUGAAUUGCAGAAUUCAGUGAAUCAUCGAAUCUUUGAACGCACAUUGUGCCCGCCAGUAUUCUGGCGGGCAUGCCUGUUCGAGCGUCAUUUCAACCCUCAAGCCCCCGGGCUUGGUGUUGGGGAUCGGCGUGCCCUCGCGGCGCGCCGUCCCCUAAAUCUAGUGGCGGUCUCGCUGCAGCCUCCCCUGCGUAGUAGCACACCUCGCACUGGAGAGCGGCGCGGCCACGCCGUGAAACCCCCAACUUCUGAAUGUUGACCUCGGAUCAGGUAGGAAUACCCGCUGAACUUAAGCAUAUCAAUAAGCGGAGGA
rnacentral:misc_RNA from 1 species